rnacentral:rRNA from 1 species
GAUGAACGCUGGCGGCGUGCCUAAUACAUGCCAGUCGAGCGAACGGACGAGAAGCUUGCUUCUCUGAUGUUAGCGGCGGACGGGUGAGUAACACGUGGAUAACCUACCUAUAAGACUGGGAUAACUUCGGGAAACCGGAGCUAAUACCGGAUAAUAUUUUGAACCGCAUGGUUCAAAAGUGAAAGACGGUCUUGCUGUCACUUAUAGAUGGAUCCGCGCUGCAUUAGCUAGUUGGUAAGGUAACGGCUUACCAAGGCAACGAUGCAUAGCCGACCUGAGGGGGUGAUCGGCCACACUGGAACUGAGACACGAUCCAGACUCCUACAGGAGGCAGCAGUAGGGAAUCUUCCGCAAUGAACGAAAGCCUGACGGAGCAACGCCGCGUGAGUGAUGAAGGUCUUCGGAUCGUAAAACUCUGUUAUUAGGGAAGAGCAUAUGUGUAAGUAACUGUGCACAUCUUGACGGUACCUAAUCAGAAAGCCACGGCUAACUACGUG